rnacentral:tRNA from 1 species
GGAGGGAUGGCAGAGCGGACGAAUGCGAAGGUCUUGAAAACCUUUGGCCCUCCGGGGCCCGCGGGUUCGAAUCCCGCUCCCUCCG